AUGGCAGCAACCGGCGUACACAAGGGGCUUGAGCAUCCUGUGGAGAGCGCGGGAGGUCAGGCCAUGAACUUGGGAGAUGGUUUAAAGCUUGAAACGGAAUUAUUGAAUGGAAAAACCAAGCUUAUAUUGUCUCCAUAUGACCAUAAAUCAAAAAUUUCUGGAAAGAUGGGAAGUAAGACCAAGAUUGCAAAAUAUCCCUUAAGAACUAAAACUGGAUACAUUCUAAAAUCACAAAAUACUUGUGUCAGGAGUGAAAAAUUUUUGCAAAAGAAAAGAAUUGGUUCAGAAACUUCACUGCUAAAAGGUGAAAAGAAUAGUAUGACUUUUUCACCCACUAAGGAUUUAUGCAAACAGUCUGUAAACAAAGACAGUCUUCAUACCGAGAAAGAAAUUUCAUUUGCACCCCCUAAUAUACAGAAGGCUAGAAACACCAUGAAUGCAUUUGUAGUAGCUAAACAGAAGCCCUGCAGAAAGCACAUCACAGGUGAAAAUAGAAAGAGCAGUUUGGUGUGUCUAACAGAAGACCAACUACAACGAAUUUUGAUGACUGUAAACCAAGGAAGUAAAUCUAUUACCCUGACUGAGAAUGAAAAGGAGGAGGAAACAAGUCAGUAUAGUCUAAAUUUAAACAAUAUUCCUGAUCAGCCAAAGGAUGAGAACAUCAUGGGACUUCUCCAAAAAACUGAGACUGUUUCAUCUAUUCAGGAUGAAAGCAAAUCUGUUUUAAAUAAAAAUCAGGUGACAUCUAAUCAGUGUGAGCAGAAAAUUUCCACAGAGAAUGUAUGGAAACCAGCUGACAUAUUCAGUACUCUGGGAGAAAGAGAACGUGAUAGAAGUUUGUUAGAAGCAAAAAAAGCCCAGUGGAGGAAAGAGCUUGAUGAACAGGUUGCUUUAAAGAAGAAAGAAAAAGAAGCUUCUGAAAAAUGGAAUAAUCCAUGGAAAAAAUCUGAAAGUGAUAAAAUAGAAUGGGAAAAACUUCAAAUUCUGGAUCAUUCUAAGACUUCUGCCUGCUCUUCUAGCAUUCUGUCACAGUCUCCCAGUCAGGUAAUGGCGAUCCAUGCUGAUGGGCCCUCACUGCCUCGAGCUAGUCAGAUUUCACAGGAAGCAGUACUGCUGGCGCACCCUUUCAGUGCUGUGAAACAAGAACAGCAGAGAAAAUGGAUUGAAGAGUUGAACAAACAAAUAGAAGAUGACCGGCAAAAAAAAGCGGAGGAGAAAAUUAUAUCCUCAAUGGGUGAGGAACAUGACAGAUGGGCGAUGCAUUUUGAUUCCUUAAAGAACUAUCCUGGUUCUCAGUCUCGACUAUCCUCUCAGUCAAUGCAAAAACAACCAGAGUACUUCUGUGUCUCUCCGGACACUCAGGAGUUGGCUGAUAUCAGCAGUCUGUAUACACCUACAGUUGGAAGCCAGAUUGAACCUUCAGAGGAGGAACAUACAGUGAAACCUUUUAGAGAUACAGCUGUGGCAAACAUUCAGAAAACGAACUUUCUCCGUUCUAUGACUGCUCUUUUGGACCCAGCUCAGAUUGAGGAACGAGACAGGAGGCGACAAAAGCAGUUAGAACAUCAGAAAGCUAUCACUGCUCAAGUAGAAGAGAAGCGCAAGAAAAAGCAGCUCGAAGAAGAGCAGAGAAAGAAGGAGGAGCAAGAGGAGGAGCGCCGCUUAGCCCGGGAACGAGAACAGAUGCAGAGACAGUAUGAAGAAGACAUACUUAAGCAAAAACAAAAGGAAGAAAUGAUGACUCUGCAGACGAAUAAGCUGUUCCAGACGAUGCAGAGAGCGCAGGAGCUGGCCCAGAGACUGAAACAAGAGCAGAGAAUCCGAGAAUUGGCUCAGAAGGGACAUGACCCUUCUAGAUUGAUUCAAAAUCUAGGCAUUGAUAGAAUACAAGUGGAAUAUAAUGCCUCUACUAACAACACUGCAAACUCAAGACAUGGCUUGGAUAAAGUGAGCAGUAAAAUGGAUACAUGUAUCAACUCUACAGCCUCUCCCAGGAAGGACACUGCUGUGCAGACAGAUGACUUAAGUAUAGGAAUAUUUACCAAUACAGAAUCACGCUGUGGAUCAGUAUCAGAGAGGGAAAUUAUGAAUUGUUCAUCCCCUGAGAUUGCUGCAGAAUUUAAUGAACAGUUUAACACUAAGAAUAACAAUCAAGAACUAGUAAGUCCGAUUAAAGGAGCCAACUUAGAAAAAGAAAACAGCUGGUAUAAUGACCAGUGUAAUCAGACCACAAGAACAGAGAAGCAAACAAAACAUAUGAAGAAAUGUCCUAAAAGACCUGACUGGAACAUAAAUAAGCCGCUCAGAAGGUAUAUUCCAGCGUCAGAAAAGUACCCUAAACAACUUCAAAAGCUGAGAGAAGAAAAAAAGGUAAGAAGGCAGAUGGAACUGCUUCAUUUGAUUGAAAGAAGUAAUCCUGGACAAAUCUCUCAAAAUAGAGGCACUUCACCAGAAGUUCUUGAUUCAUCUCAAGAAACUGAGCCAAGUUUCAGGCGGCAGCUAGUCAGAAAGGAAGAAGAACCUCUGAGAACUAAUUGUUUUAGCAAGGAAAGGUCUCAGUCGCCACCAAUUCCGGCAGUGAAAAGCAGAACGCAACAAACUCAGACACUAAAAAAUAGUAAUUAUGAAAGAGAGAAUCUGAUCUCAGGACAUAGUCAAACAGAAUUAUCACCUGGGAUUUCUGAUCCAUUUCAUUUUAUUCCGUAUGUCCGAACCAACGAGGUCUAUUACCUGGAUCCAGAUGCACCACUGUCUAGGCCUGUAACCCAGGAUCCUCACUACAAAAAUGCACAUGACCAAGAACAAGAGCUGUUUGCCUCUGACCAUCUCAGGGACCCACUUCUUAAUCCUAACUUGGUGAAAAACAGGGAUCGACAACAAGCAAUCCUUAAGGGACUAUCAGAUCUGAGACAGGGCCUUCUCCAGAAGCAAAGGGAGUUGGAAACUAAUCUCAUGCCUUUAGCUGCAAAUCAAGAAGAGAAUUUUAGUUCUUCGUUUUAA
rnacentral:lncRNA from 1 species